GCUGGCGGCAGGCCUAACACAUGCAAGUCCGAGCGGUAGCACAGAGAGCUUGCUCUCGGGUGACGAGCGGCGGACGGGUGAGUAAUGUCUGGGAAACUGCCUGAUGGAGGGGGAUAACUACUGGAAACGGUAGCUAAUACCGCAUAAUGUCGCAAGACCAAAGUGGGGGACCUUCGGGCCUCAUGCCAUCAGAUGUGCCCAGAUGGGAUUAGCUAGUAGGUGGGGUAACGGCUCACCUAGGCGACGAUCCCUAGCUGGUCUGAGAGGAUGACCAGCCACACUGGAACUGAGACACGGUCCAGACUCCUACGGGAGGCAGCAGUGGGGAAUAUUGCACAAUGGGCGCAAGCCUGAUGCAGCCAUGCCGCGUGUGUGAAGAAGGCCUUCGGGUUGUAAGGCCUUCACCGAGAGCAAAGUUAAUAACUUCGCAUUGCGUACCGCAAAGAGACGGGUUAUCCGUGCACGACCCGGGUAUACGGAGGGUGAGAGGUUAUACGAUAUCUGG
rnacentral:rRNA from 1 species